rnacentral:rRNA from 1 species
AGCUCCAAUAGCGUAUAUUAAAGUUGUUGCAGUUAAAAAGCUCGUAGUUGAAUUUCGGGGUCAGUAGGUUGGUCAUGCCACAGGUAUGUACUGAUCUUACUGAUUCCUCCUUCCUGAUGAACCGUAAUGCCAUUAAUUUGGUGUUGCGGGGAAACUGGACUGUUACUUUGAAAAAAUUAGAGUGUUUAAAGCAGGCUAACGCUUGAAUACAUUAGCAUGGAAUAAUGAAAUAGGACGUUCGAUCCUAUUUUGUUGGUUUCUAGGAUUGACGUAAUGAUUAAUAGGGAUAGUUGGGGGCAUUAGUAUUCAAUUGUCAGAGGUGAAAUUCUUGGAUUUAUUGAAGACUAACUACUGCGAAAGCAUUUGCCAAGGAUGUUUUCA